GCAAUCUAUAACACUUUUUUGAACUCUGGUUUCUAAAUUUAAUAUUUUAUCUUAGCAAUGCUGACAUGGAUAAAAGCUGGAGGAUUAAAGAUGGUUCCCCUUUAUCUUGUCCUACAAGUUUCUUUGUUAUUUGGUUGUUUUGGUUUGGGUUAGAUUGUUUAGCAGUACUGGGGAUUCAACCCAGGGCCUUCUCACUGAGAUGCAUUCCCAGCUCAUUUUUGUUUGUCUGUUUGUUAUUUAAUUUAAAAAAAAAAAUAGGGUCCUGCAGAGUCACUAAGUUGCCUGGGCUGGGCUCGAACUUCCAAUCCUCCUGCCUUAGCCUUUUGAGCAGCUAGGAUUUCAGGGUUGCACCCCACACCUGGCUACAAGUUUAUUUUUUAACCAGUGUAUAUAUUAACAGACAUUCUUCUUCCUCAUUACUUCUUCCUUAAAACACUUGAGUGGGUUCCGAACUGGCUGUUACCUCCCAAGUUUUUCCUUUCUACCUUUUUUGCUCACUACUUUGCUAAGCUGAACUCUUAAACCAUCGGUGACUCUUCAUGGCCUUUGUUGUCCAAAGGUGACACAGUCUAGUGGUCCAGUGUGUGCGUUCUGAGGUCAGAUACUCCUGAGUUUAAACCCUGAUGCUCUUCUGAACAAAAUUUGCCCACUUCUCUGCCUCAUCUGGGGUAGAAGUAAGAAAAGUCUGGGAACUUGCAGCUAAGUGAGAGAGGCAGGACUGGCACUUUCGUUAACCCUGCACAAUGUGUUCCAGAACCCGCACCACCUCACGCAAUAUACACUAUGCUCUCCCAAGGAAAUGAAAAGCUGGGCGCUCCCCUUCACACUGUCAGACAUGAGUCUGCAUCCACCUCAGACACCAGUUCUGACAGCAGCAUCACAACUGAGGAGGAUGAGGACAGGACCAAGGUACACCUGGCUGUCGGUGGAAGAGACAAGAUUACUCGGAAGCAUCCUGGAUAUGACUUAGCCUCGGAGGGGCAAAGGAGCUAUGAAGCCUCCACUCCAGAUUACACAGCAGUUAAGUCUGUUGAUAAACAGGAUGUGGAACAUGUGCAAGUAUUCACUGUUAUGCAGAGAAAGACCUCAGUCCCUCAGGAGGAGAGCUCAGCCACAAUCUACUGCUCUGUUCAGAAACCUCAGAAGGAGGUGCCACCACCACAGCAUGCUCUGGAGUCCUCUGAAACCUUGACCUACCAAAAUUUCACCUGAAAAAAAAAAAAAAAAACUUCUACGUCUCUGAUUGGAAAAGUAGCUGGACCUUGUAAAUCCUGGUGCUCCUACAGACAAGUAAAGCAGCAUUUCCCACAGUGACUCAAACAUGCCUGGAUUUCACCGCUACGCUCCCCUCAGCCUCCUAAGCCCAUUAAUAUUUUAGGUACAGGCUCCUUAGAGUCCUGGUUGGAAGUUAUUGAAGGGGAUCUGACUAUCCUUCACCCAUCUCAUGAACAGCUAUGAAAGCAAAUCCAACAGAUAUUCUCACACAUGGACACAAAGAGCUACAUAAAAUUAUGUUCUGUACAGUAUUAUUUAAAAUUAAAAGUGGAAAAUAACUUCAAUGUCCCUUAGUGAGAGUCUAGCUAUAAAUACUGAAUAAUGUACCCACACAGGAUCAAACUUUAUGCCUUAAAUACUUCUCUUGUUGCUGGGACAAAAUACCUGACACCCA
ensembl:lincRNA